rnacentral:rRNA from 1 species
UGGCGGACGGAUGAGUAACGCGUAAAGAACUUGCCCUUUAGACUGGGAUAACAGAGGGAAACUUCUGAUAAUACUGGAUAAGUUAGUAUAUCGCAUGAUAUGCAAAUGAAAGCUACGGCACUAAAGGAGAGCUUUGCGUCCUAUUAGCUAGUUGGUAAGGUAAGAGCUUACCAAGGCGAUGAUAGGUAGCCGGCCUGAGAGGGUGGACGGCCACAAGGGGACUGAGAUACGGCCCUUACUCCUACGGGAGGCAGCAGCC